rnacentral:lncRNA from 1 species
UAAAAAAUAAGAAAUCAUAAUUUCAUUAUUUAAAAGAAGAAUUACAAUUCUUCAACAUUCAGCUUGAAUACAAAGAAAGACAACAAUACAUUGUGUCAGACAUCUAUUGUGCAAACUAGACUAGAAGCUCAAAUUAGAGAACAAGAUAAAAGUCAUUAUCAUUAGUAGUAUCAUUUUAAACCUAAUUAGAGGAAUGGAAUAGAAAGAAGCUAUAUAUCAAGAUGUUUAUUUCAAGAUGGUUACUAAUCAACUAAAAGUAGACAAUGUGUAAUAUUAUAAGUAUCAACUCAGUGAUGGCUUGUUCUAUUUCAAGAAGAAAAUUUAUGUACUUGAUGAUACUAUACUUGGGAUCACAUACUUCAAGAAAGAUAUGAUAUUCCAAUAUUUGGACAUUUAAUGCAUGAAAAGACUC